GUUGGCGGCGUGGAUUAGGCAUGCAAGUCGUGCGAUAAGCCCCUUUCGGGGGGUGGACAGCGGCGCAAGGGAGAGUAACGCGUGGACUACCUACCCCCGGGUCCGGGAUAGCUGCGGGAAACUGCAGGUAAUACCGGAUGACAUCUUCGGAUCAAAGGUGAGAUUCCGCCUGGGGAUGGGUCCGCGUCCUAUUAGCUUGUUGGUGGGGUAACGGCCUACCAAGGCUGCGAUGGGUACCGGGCGUGAGAGCGUGACCCGGCUCACUGGGACUGAGACACUGCCCAGACACCUACGGGUGGCUGCAGUCGAGAAUCUUCGGCAAUGGGCGAAAGCCUGACCGAGCGACGCCGCGUGCGGGAUGAAGGCCUUCGGGUUGUAAACCGCUGUCAGAGGGGAUGAAAUGCCGUGGGGCACUCUCCACGGUUUGACAAAUCCUCAGAGGAAGUGCGGGCUAAGUUCGUGCCAGCAGCCGCGGUAAGACGAACCGCACAAACGUUAUUCGGAAUCACUGGGCUUAAAGGGUGCGUAGGCGGUCCGGCAAGUUGGG
rnacentral:rRNA from 1 species